rnacentral:tRNA from 1 species
GGCCUGGUAGCUCAACUGGUGGAGCACUGCACUGGCAUUGCAGGGGUCAGGGUUCAAAUCCCUGUUCAGGCCU